CCACACAGGAAGAUCACACCAUCCCUCAACAGGAUCAGUAUGAAGAUCUGAUAGAUAUAAAAGUUGAGGUUAAAGAAGAAGAAGACGACGACGAAGAAGAAGAGAUGUAUAUGGAGGAGGCUGAAAUGAUUAAGACAUUUAUAGAGGAGGACACUCCUACAGAGAUCAGCACAGUAGAUGGACGGGAGAUGAGGAAAACCUCAGAGGAUUGUC